CAGGCUAAUGUUUACAAAGAUUAAAUAUAUUUCAGUAAGCUAAGUGUGGAUGAAAUGAUCAGAUUGGCCUUUGCAGUUUGCUAUAAUUUCAUUGUUUUGCAAGUUUUUGCAGUUUCGAGCAACAACAAAAAGAGAGAGAAAUAAAGUUUGUUUUUGGCCUGAUAGCAUUCAUAGGCUGUAUAAACACCUAUGAGAAACACACACCUUGCUCUUACAGUUUCUUUCCAAGGAGCUACUUCAAGUGUGAAACUGUUUGUUGUAAUGCAAUAAUGUCAGGAUAGUUUACUGUGAAAGGACGUAGUUACCAUAACUAUCUAUAAGAAACAAGUAAGAGUGGACAAUGUUGGUGGCUAACAUAUAGAUGAUAUGGAGGACGGUGAAGAUAAGGACUGUCAGAACAAGCUGAAUUUAAACUCUUUGACCUUGAAAUGUCCCACUGUUAGCACUGGCUUCUUCUGCCCCCUGCCCCAGGGAAUGAAGGUCUGCACCCGGUUCCACAUUUUCUUCCACAAUGCCGAUCCCUCCCAGCGCAACUUGAGCAUCAUCAGAUCACCUAAGUCUUUGUCCAGGGUGAUCAGGAAGGUCACAUCCUGGUUGGUAGUUUCCUCCGUUGGGGUAAAAGUCAUAAUGUGCCACAGCCUGCUUGAUGCCCACACUGAGGCCCAUUCGCUCGUGGGUGAAGGUGUGGAUGGCAUCAACAAACUCAGCGUCAUCUGGAGACAGUCUGUCUGUGGAAGACAUGCCUUCAAACAGAGGCCCAGCUGGAUCCAGACCUGAGCAGAGACAACAUGCAGUCAACAGCAGGACUCCCCCCUCACUGGUCCCAGUUCCAUGUUUUGUAUCCAGUGCUUCAACUCAGUGAAGUGGAAGAGAAGUUGACCUUACCGACCACCCGUGAGUGAUGAUGAUGAGGGGAUUACUGCUGUUGAAGCCACAGGAGGUGAGCGUGUGCAGCUGCAGAGGGUCCAGUGUGCAGGUGUCUUCACCUUCUAAAAACAGCCUGAAGACCGAACUGCUGACAUGCAGCUCGUUCACCCUCAGGACUCCCCUCUGAUCUGUGUCCACUGUGCAUCAGAAACCAAACAGCAGAGGAGUUAUCUGUUUGUUCUUCCCGAUUAAACAUUCAGAACGAUCAGAACAUUUGCUUUGAGGUAAAUAAUUAAAAGUAAUGCAUAAUGAAAUGUAUCGUAAAUUAGAUUGAUGUAUUUGUAGAAUUAUCCAAGAGCAUAAAGGGGGAAAUGAGACCCUUCCUCAUGAGGCCUGUUUUGAAUGUAGGAUGACUAACUCUUUUUGGAAGUUCUUUGCUGUGUUUCCAGGUCAUAGCGUUCUCUUUGGCAGAUGCAUACAGAUAAAACUUCACAAAUAGUCCCAUCUCU